rnacentral:rRNA from 1 species
GACGAACGCUGGCGGCGUGCUUAACACAUGCAAGUCGAACGGAAAGGCCCUGCUUUUGUUGGGUGCUCGAGUGGCGAACGGGUGAGUAACACGUGAGUAUCCUGCCCUUGACUUUGGGAUAACUUCAGUAAACUGGGGCUAAUACCGGAUAGGAGCUCCUGCUGCAUGGUGGGGGUUGGAAAGUUUCGGCGGUUGGGGAUGGACUCGCGGCUUAUCAGCUUGUUGGUGGGGUAGUGGCUUACCAAGGCUUUGACGGGUAGCCGGCCUGAGAGGGUGACCGGCCACAUUGGGACUGAGAUACGGCCCAGACUCCUACGGGAGGCAGCAGUGGGGAAUAGUACACAAUGCGAGGAAGCCUGAUGCAGCAACGCCGCGUGCGGGAUGACGGCCUGCGGGUUGUAAACCGCUUUCGCCUGUGACGAAGCGUGAGUGACGGUAAUGGGUAAAGAAGCACCGGCUAACUACGUG